rnacentral:tRNA from 1 species
GCAGGGAUAGCCAAGUCGGUCAACGGCGCUGGACUCAAGAUUAUUGGUGAGAUAUCCAGUCGUGUAGACGUACAUGGGUUCGAAAAUUUCCUCUUUGGAGGUCGAAAGUCCCAUUCCCUGCA